UUCCCUUUGUCAUCCUUUGCCCAGGGUUCUGAGUGGGGCAGGGACAGCAAAGGGGUGC
rnacentral:pre_miRNA from 1 species